UGUAAUAAGGGCAAUAUCGGUGAACAAUACACUAAAAUGGAUUAUAAUGACUAGUUACGGUUUCGGUGUAAGGCUACCAGGAUAAAUGUGAGUGGAUAUGGAGCAUUAGUAAGCUACCUUAUUGGUAAAACUAAAUGGUGUCCAAUCGCAUAUCAUCUGAUGUAGAAUAGUGAUGAUUCAAAUGUAAAAGGAGUCACUCUUUUAACGAUCGAUGCCUUUUCUGUAACACCCCGUACCAAAAAAAUAUACAUGAUUAAACAAGUUUGACCAAAUUGACUAAGUUUGAUCAAGUUUGACCAAUUGAACAAUAUAUGAGUUCAAGUUAACUUUUUCAAUAGCCAAUAUUUUUGGUUUGACUGAGGUACCAUUGUGUAGAUUUCGUUGAUACGAGUUCAUAGACUGGCGGUACGCCAAAUUCUGAGUUACGGAUAAAAAGUUAUGGUUCUGAAAAGUUUUAAGCAUAAGUUUUUAAUCAGUGUCCAAGCCAGUCUCCAGUUUUUAUCUGUUAGUGACCCAAAGAUUUAUAUAAGCCUAGGUAAGCAUGUAAAAUAGGAAACAAAGCCCAAAAUACCCAUUUCUUCCCCAAAACCCGAGAAAUUCUCUCCUCAGACCCAUGGAUCUGAACUGAGUCAUUUCGACCCGUUUACCGUCGAACCGGAUCACCACAGUUUUGCCCAUUUCUGGCCAACCACCACUUACACACGCCAGCCAACUAGAAAGAUCACUUGAACGCUAGCUCAGCCGUGAAAUUUCACGGCAAGAAGUGGCCAGACUCGCCCAGAUAGGGCUAGCAAGAUUCCUCACCGUUUGAAAGAUCCGACAACGAGAAGUUCGGCCGAUGUUUCAACAAUGUUUUCGGGCCACCAGAGGAAACUUUGGAUCAAGGCACUCGAGUUGAGCCUGGAGGCGAUCCUGUAACGGAGCAGACAUGAGCAUCUACAGUAUUGUGAGUGGUUAUACAAUUUUUAAAUGUUUUGGGUAUAUAGUAUAAUAUCUAUGUGGUUUAAAUAUUUUACGUAUAUACCAUUUGAUUGAAAUGUUGUUUUAUGCAUAUAUAAAUAUUUGCUUUCACAUAUAUGUGUUAUCAUUUUAUAUGACUUUUGAUAAUAUUUUAAGUGAUUUCCAAUUUUAAUGGGUCCAUAAAUGGACUUGUGAUAUUUAAAUAUUUUGGUAAUUAAAUUGAGGUUUUAAAUCAUUUUGGAAACUAUUUGGUUUGAGAAACCAGAUUGAAAAUCAUAUAAUUUUAAGUAUGAUCAAAUAUUUUAUAAUGUUAUGUGCUUAAGAUUGGUUUAUGGUGAAUAUAUUUUACUGUGGUAUUUCUGGUUUUCAUAUGAAAUGAUGUUUUGAGAGUUUUGAAGUAUUUAAUUAAACGGUGGAAGUUUAAAUGUUAAAUUAUGAUUUAUGAUACAGUAUCGUUUGGAAAAGUAUAUAUAUAAUCUUAAAAGAUUGUUUCAUGUAUACUGUAUUGGUUAUUUUUAAAUUGAUGUACCAUGUAAUACCAAUACAUUGGAUCAGUAUUAUAUUAUAUUAUAUUACAGCGCGCUGGGUUUACCACGGUGCCGUGAGGUUGGUUUCAUCCAACGGUUAGCUAUUAUUACCACGGACUGUGAGGUCGGGUUUAUCCGACGGUUUAUUAUUAUUACCACGGUGCUGUGAGGUUGGUAUCAUCCAACGGUUUAUUAUUACCACAGACUGUGAGGUUGGGUACGUUCCGACGGUUAUUUAUUAUUUACACGACACCGUUCAUAUAUUGAGGGUCGUGAGGUGGGUGUAUUCCACGGUUUGCAGAUUGGUACAUUGUAUGACUCGUUGGGAAAUUGAUUUCCGGCGAAUUCCCAGUUGCACCGCCCAUCUUCUCCCACUAAUUUCGACCCCUUGAACCCAGAUCAGAGGUCGGUUUCCUCCGACACGUAGUGGUUUGUGAGAUCCAAAGAUCCAAAACCCGACAUCUUUCCGACAUGAUUCCGGUCACCUUGGAUCCGAUUUUCGGGAAGUAAGACCAGAUCCAUAAUCUUCGUUUCACAAGCCUCAAUUUGGUAUAUCAUUCGUAAAUUUUGGUUAUCGUUUGUGUUCGCUCCCUGGGUACCCAUUUGGGAGUUAUCCGAUUAAAAUAUUAAUAUAAUUAGUUUAUUGUAUUGUGGAUAUUUUAGGUGCACGUGGGGGUAGUGAAGUUGAUCCUACAGAGGAUCUAGAUUGACACACGUGUUUGAGGUGAGUGACCCACUUUUAAAAAUAUUUUUGGGUGAUUAGCUAUAUUUGUUUUGUGUUAAUUUAAUAUUUAGAAAAUAUGUUCAUGUGGUGGAAUUUAUAUAUAAUUUUAUUUAAUUUGUAUUCCUAAUUUUGGUGAUUUAUAUAUAUAUAUAUUGACGCUAAAUUAAGGUUUGGAUUAUUAAAGAAAUUCUUGAUUAUUAUUAUUGUUAUUUAAUUGAGUUUAUUAUGCAUAAUCAAGGUGUUUCAUUAAAUUAAUUGUACUUGAAUUCUAGAUGAAUUUUAAUAUUAUUUUUGGCAUGAUUUGAUUUUAAAGAUUUUUAAAAAAAUAUUGGU